rnacentral:lncRNA from 1 species
GCGAACUUAAGAAGGGACCCUUUCCAGUGGAACGCGACUUCACUCUUUCCGAUUCACUCAACGCUUUUUUGGAGACAGUACGUUCACGUGAGAAUCAAAAAGAAGCGAGUCUGCGUUCCAGAAAAUCACGUGGCCAAUCUUUCUCUCUCUCUCUCUCUCUCUUCCUCCUCCCUCCCUCUCUCUCUCUCUCUCUCUCUCUCUCGCUCUCUCGCUCUCUCGCUCUCUCAUCUUUUACAACCCUCUCCAGCCUGGCUGUGUGUACGAACUUUCAUACAGUCAUCGUGGGCGCUGCGGCGUGUUGAGAUGUGCCGGUCCUUGCACACUUUGGGGAAAUCCGUGGGUGGGGGAGACUGAAAAUGGCUGAGAACAGGACGACCAAAGAAAGCAGCUCCGUCGACCCGUUUCUUCCUGCCAGCUUACCCCCCUCCCCGCUUCCUGUUCUUUGGACCUCGCAGAUUAGCCCUGAGCUAACAUCUGUUGCCAAUCCUGCUCUUUUUGCUGAGGAAGACUGGCCCUGAGCUAACAUCCAUGCCCAUCUUCCUCUACUUUAUACGUGGGACGCCUGCCACAGCAUGGCUUGCCAAGCAGUGCCAUGUCUGCACCCGGGAUCUGAGCCAGUGAACCUUGGGCUGUGGAAGCCGAACGUGUGAACUUAACUGCCGCGCCACCAGAGUAAGAGACCCGUGAAAGUCGUAUUGUGAUCCCGCCUGGUUUUUAGCCCAUUUGUUCAAAAUACAUGGAUCAAAUCCGGUUGCUUCCAUGUGGAGUAAGUGGAUUGAAAGUAGCAACUUGAAUCUCAGCGUGUAAGAUAUUCGGGUAACUUUCCAUCCAUAGUGAUCAGCUUUCAGUUUUGAAAUGUAACUAAAUAAAGGAAGAUGAGAAAUAUUUCACAUGACUUUGUAUAAAGAAUAAUGCACCUCAUCGUUUACAGCACGGCUAUGUCUGUGAUCUGCCUUCACCAAAAC